CCCUGUCUCUUCCUGUAGACUGUGGUAUCAGAGCCCAAGGCAUGCACAGAGGCAAGUUUCCCAGGUAUGUGUUACUUUAUAACCACUUCAAAUAAGAGGCCAUUCCAGCUGACAGCAGCCUAAAAAGAAUGUGUUUCUGGUAAAUUAAAGGAGGGCCACUGAUCGGUGAAGGUAAACAGGUGAUGAAAUUCCUCAUUAGUACCUCAUUCGUAAUUCUCCUCUCCUGAAGUAGCUGACACAGAGUGAGGCCUGGAGUCGCGGCUGCUCAGAAGUGCGGGCUGUGGGGGUCACAGGGCGGCUUCAUCAUGGCCAGGGAGAGCGCCGCCUGCCUCGGUGUCAGCCACCGCGCCGAUAGCGGACACCAGGCAGGAUCUGCUCUUCCUCAAGAUGCAGCCACACAUUUUGAAGUCAUUGGGAGGUGAGCGCGAGCUCCUGGCCUCCGGGGUGCAGUCAUUUCCCACGUCGUCCGGCCCAGGAGGGCUUCAAGCUGUGCGCCCAGGGGUUGAAGGAAGAAGGUGCAGGACCCCCACAGUCUAACACCUGGAUGCCUGAGUUUCUCUCCCUACGGGGAAGUAAACUGCGAUUUGCCCAAGGAGCCACUCAGGACAGGUCCAGCGAAGGGGCUGUGGGGGCGCGGAGCCCAGUCAUUACUCCACUGCAGAAUGCUUGGCGGAGUCACCAGCCAAUCACCCAAACCGGUGUCACCUUGCCUGAGAAGGUUCAUUGAAAUGAAGCUCUUUCUAAUGGAGGCUUUCUCUACCAGGGCCUGGCAAAGCUCUGUUUCUUUUUCCUGUUCUUUCAAAACCCCACGUGGCUUUCCAAUAUCCUUUUAACAUUUUGGUCUUUGCAAGAGCACUUUUUGUCACAGACUGGCGUGGAUUCGACCCACGGAACGCGCAUCUGAAGGAGGCGUCAGCUCUUCAGAGCUGCGAAGGUCUGCUGUGGCUUUGCUCCAGAAGUUAGCGAGACUGUGAACCACCAGAGGAACAAACGACUCUGGAUGCGCCACCUGUAAGAGCUGUAACAGUCACUGCGAAGGUCCGCUGCUUUGCUCCUGAAGUCAGCAAGACCACGAACCCAUGGGAAGGAAGAAACUCCAGACAGCAUAUUUAAGAACUGUAACACUCACUGGGGUGGCUUCAUUCUUGAAGUCAGAGAGACCAGGAACCUGCCGGAAGGAACCAGUUCCGGACACAGUAUCGCUCUUAUGCCUUUGCAUCCUCAUGGCUUAGCUCCCACUUAUGAGUGAGAACACACAAUGUUUGGUUUUCUAUUCCUGAGUUACUUCACUUAGAAUAAUAGUCUCCGGUUCCAUCCAGGUUGCUGCAAAUGCCAUUAAUUCAUUCCUUUUUUUAUGGCAGAGUAGUAGUCUUUUUUUUUCUUUUGAGACCGAGUCUUGCUCUGUUGCCCAGGUUGGAGUGCAGUGGCACGAUCUUGGCUCACUGCAAAGCUCCACCUCCCAGUUCACACCAUUCUCCUGCCUCAGUCUCCCAAGUAGCUGGGACUACAGGCGCCCGCCACCUUGCCUGGCUAAUUUUUUGUAUAUUUAGUAGAGUUGGGGCUUCACCCUGUUAGCCAGGCUGGUCUCUAUAUCCUGACCAUGGCUGACUAGUAUUCUUGUGUGUGUGUGUGUGUGUGUGUGUGUGUGUGUGUAUACACCACAAUUUCUUUAUCCACUUGUUGAUUGGUGGGCAUUUGGGCUGGUUCCAUAUUUUCGGAAUUGUGAAUUGUGCUGCUAUAAACAUGCAUGUAGAAGUAUGUUUUUCGUAUAGUCACUUCUUUUCCUCUGGGUAGAUACCCACUAGUGCGAUUGCUGAAUCAAUCUACUUUUAGUUCUUUAAGGAAUCUCCACACUGUUUUCCGUAGUGGUUGUACUAGUUUACAUUCCCACCAGCAGUGUAGAUGUGUUCCAUAAUCACCACGUCUAUGCCAAC
rnacentral:lncRNA from 10 species